rnacentral:rRNA from 1 species
UACGUAGGGGGCAAGCGUUGUCCGGAUUUAUUGGGCGUAAAGAGCGUGUAGGCGGCUUUACAGGUCCGUUGUGAAAACUCGAGGCUCAACCUCGAGACGUCGAUGGAAACCGUCUGGCUAGAGUCCGGAAGAGGAGAGUGGAAUUCCUGGUGUAGCGGUGAAAUGCGCAGAUAUCAGGAAGAACACCUAUGGCGAAGGCAGCUCUCUGGGACGGUACUGACGCUGAGACGCGAAAGCGUGGGGAGCGAACAGG